GGGUAGCCUAGUGGUCAUGGCAUCUGCCCGGUAAGCGGAAGGUCGUGGGUUCACUUUUUUUAUUUUAUCCAUUCUGACCA
rnacentral:tRNA from 1 species